ACAGCUCACACACAUAACCUCAGUGCUCUUAAAGUAUAUCUAGCAAACUUGCAUGCACUAACGCAUAAGCAUAUGCAUUGGAUUGGUAUAGUAUAAGGAAUUGGAUUGGUCCAUUUCCUUAUACCUAUGCUUAAGCGCCUAUAGAAGUUUGCUUGAAAUACUUUUAGGCAGACUACUUUUUUCGCGCACGCGGCCUGCAUAAGAACGUUGCAUUCUGUCAUUGCUGCACAUAACCUAUACCUGUACCACUAUACUGCAAAAAGAGAAAUUUAAACAGAAAGCUGGAUCUUGUUUAGGGCUAGAAAAAUUAAAAAUUCGUUAUCCAUACAAUAUUUGGGAAGGAUUAAAAAUAUUAGAUUUUAAGUCACUGAAGAAGUGCCUACCUCGAGCUAAUAGGCACAAAGACAUAGUUAAUAUAGUUAAAUAGAUUAGUGGAAUCACAGAAUCAAAAACAAAAUAAAAAACCUAACACAUACCAGAUUAAAGGCACAUUAAAUACUAGACAGAAAAAAAGAGAGAAAUUUAAGAGAAAAGUUGUACAUUAUCAAAAGUUAUUCUUGAUCUAAAACAGUAGUUUUUAUUCUCAUAAAAUAUAUUUCUUUUACCAUUUGUGAUUGUUAUCACAGUAAUACGUUGACAGUAUUUUCUCAAAACAUGUCAUCGAGUGAACAACAAAAUGUUUUUAAAAAUGUGUCUACAGCUUGCAAUAAUUUUGCAAUUCCAUUGUACAGGAAUUUAGUAACAAAUAUUGACAACAAUAUUAUAACUUCUCCAUUAAGCUUAUAUAUGAUAUUAUCCUUACUUUUUAAUGGCUCUGGAGGGAGCACAUUGAAUGAAUUGAAGUCUGUUCUUUAUUAUGAUAAUGCAAUAUUUUCAAACAAUGAGUUUGAGUCACUGAUUUAUUUGUUAAAGAACAUUAAAGGUACUGACUUGCGUAUAGCAAAUGCGAUAUAUAUUCAAGAUGGAUUUCAAUUAAUGGCUGAUUUUCUAUCGACAUACACAAAUGUCUUUCAGUCUAUUUCAAGAAUAAACUUUGAAAAUAUCGCAUAUUCAGUAGAAACUAUUAAUACAUGGGUUCAAGAAGCAACAAAUAAUAAAAUAUCUAACAUUAUUUCUUCGGAUAAUAUUGAUGAAGACACAAAGAUUGUGUUAGUAAAUGCUAUUUACUUUAAAAGUAAAUGGUUGGAUAUGUUUGAUGAAAAAGAUACAACAAAACGCAAUUUUUAUAUUUCCGAAACGGAAACAAAUCUUGUUCCGAUAAUGUUUAAAAAAUCGAAUUAUGUUUAUGGUGAAAUACCAGCUUGGCAUACAAAAUUCAUUGAAAUCCCAUACUCGAAUCAAGAUUUUGUAAUGACAAUAUUAUUACCAAACAAAGAGACAGACCUGCAGACUUUGGAAAAAAAUUUUAACUGGGAAACAUUAGCAAACGCACCAAAAUCUAUCGAUAGAAUUGAAUUAUAUUUACCUCGGUUUAAGUUUGAAAUUGCUAUAAAUAUGGAAGAUGUUCUACGUAAGAUUGGUCUAAAUACAAUAUUCGAAGAUAGUGCGGAUUUUACACAUCUUUCGAGUAUUCCUCUGAAAGUAAGUCACGUGGUACAAAAAAUUUUCAUAGAAGUUAAUGAAGAAGGUUCAGAAGCUGCUGCUGCUACAGCUACAGGAUUCAGAACGAAAAGGAGUGCAGUUUUACCGAUGACGUUUGUGGUGGAUCGUCCGUUUCUAUUUGUGAUUGAACAUAAACCAAGCAAAUUACUGUUAUUUUUGGGAAGUGUACGAAAGAUAGAGUCUACUCAUGAGAAAGAUGAAUUAUAAUUCUAUUAUAAUUAAAAAUUGUCAAACUACCAUGCUGUAUAUCUAAAAUUAAUAUCAUAUUAAAAAAAAAACUAAUAUAUUCUUAAUGAUACUUUUAACAUUAUGAAACAGUUGUGUUUUGUUACGAACAAUAAAAAUCUAUUUUAUACGUCUUGUACGAAAUGUUUAAUUCUUUAACUUUGCACUGCCUAUACUCGAAUUAGACUCUUGGUGCCUUUUUUCGGCUGAAAAUAGUCGUUCGGCAAUGAAACGCAAUUCCUGAGAGAUGCGGGAGGGUGUCUACGUGCUUCCUAGAACGAAAAGAUCGAUAGAAUACAUGCGCGUCUGGCUACGUCGCGACGCGCACGAAUUCUCUCCUGAAACGCAACGCAACGUAACGCAUCGCAACGCAGUUUGCGUUGCAUACGUUCACUCUCGGAUCUGUGAAGUGCGCAGUAUAAAAAUAAGCGAAAUUGUGAUACGCGCGUAAACAUCCUCUUCGAACUCGGCAUUGUGCGAACGUCAUUAUCACUGCCGUCGUCUCAUCACGCUGGAAUUAAUGCUACGCGCAUACUGACCUAGAAACAUUAAACCUGACGGGUCGUCAUCGUUAAUUCUACCCUAGUAGCUAACAAGCUCGUUUGGAUGGAGCUAUAAAGGACGCGUUUCUGAGUUCAACAUCUGAUCAUG